rnacentral:rRNA from 1 species
CCUACGGUGGGCUGCAGUGGGGAAUAUUGGACAAUGGGCGAAAGCCUGAUCCAGCCAUGCCGCGUGUGUGAAGAAGGCCUUCGGGUUGUAAAGCACUUUCAGUGGGGAAGAAAGCCUUGGGGCUAAUACCCUCGAGGAAGGACAUCACCCACAGAAGAAGCACCGGCUAACUCCGUGCCAGCAGCCGCGGUAAUACGGAGGGUGCGAGCGUUAAUCGGAAUUACUGGGCGUAAAGCGCGCGUAGGCGGUCUGAUAAGCCGGUUGUGAAAGCCCCGGGCUCAACCUGGGAACGGCAUCCGGAACUGUCAGGCUAGAGUGCAGGAGAGGAAGGUAGAAUUCCCGGUGUAGCGGUGAAAUGCGUAGAGAUCGGGAGGAAUACCAGUGGCGAAGGCGGCCUUCUGGACUGACACUGACGCUGAGGUGCGAAAGCGUGGGUAGCAAACAGGAUUAGAUACCCCGGUAGUC